GCCUCCUUAGCUCAGCGGUAGAGCAGUUCAUUCGUAACGAACAGGUAGCGGGUUCGAAUCCCGUGGGAGGCU
rnacentral:tRNA from 1 species